rnacentral:lncRNA from 1 species
AAAGGCACUAUAUGGUGCAUGAUCAAAUCAUUAUUACUACAUAGAAGUGCCAUACAUAGUUCUGAAGUAAGAAUAACAUGCCAAUGCCUCUGUUUAACAGGGUAGUUUUACUAGCAAUGAUGUAAGGAGUACUGCAUACAACAUUGUGUAAGUCGUGGGAACAUUUAAGCUUCCUUUGGCAUGUGCAUUUUUUGUCUUGCAU